CCUACUCUAAGGAGGGCAUAAUGUGUGUCUCCUGCAAUCGGUGGUAGGAACAAUGCUUAAGGUCUAAACUAGCAGAUACUUUAGUGAUAAAAAACAAAGAAGGAACCUAUUUGAACUGGAAAAAGAAGGUGGAUACUGCAGGAUUCAGAGACUUUAUGGAUUUUAAAAGCAACAAAGAUGGAACAUGUCCUCAGGAAACACACACACACACAGGAUGGUAUCCAGAAGGGGAUGAAGCUGUUUGGUUUUGGACAAGAAUUUAAAAUACUUAAGGGCAACUUCAUGGAAAUGUCUGAUAAAUAUGAUCUGUGGAUCAGCCAUUGCACUCCAGCCUGGGCGACAGAGCGAGACUCCAUCUGAAAAAAACAAACAAAAAAAUAAGUUGGUAAGGAUGUAUUUUUUUGUGUAUGUUCUGUUUCAACUUAUGUAGAUUAUUGUAAAUUGAUGUAAACCACGUGAGAGGAAAAUGUGAAUAUAAAAAUGCAAAGCCCUAACAUUUGCUCACACACACACAAAUCUUCUGAAAUUUCAUUAUUUUCCCCUUUUCUCCCUUUAAAGACAGACCUAUUAUUAUCUAGGGACAGUGAAAAUGAGAAAAGGAGAAUAAAAGGGAACAAAAUGCAAGAAAGGAAGCUAAGCACAUAUUUCUGGAUAUAUUUUCAGAAGACACAGGAUGCAAAGUACAAAUGGAAAAGAAAGUGGGGAUGGAGCCAAAGUUGAGACAAUAAAGGGGGCAGAAAUAAAAGAAGGAAAAUGGAGCCAGUCAGAAAUUGCCCUUCUCUGAGCAGAAGAAACUGUAGAGAGUAGUUCUGAAUGAUAACCAGGUAAAGGAGAGCAGAAAUAGAGUGGGAUGCAGGUUAGGAGGCUUAACAUUUUCAGGUUAGCAAGGUAAGAUUUAAAAGGAGAGGAAAAAAAAUCUCCAUGAACUCUCAGUUCUUAUUUUUAUUUUAGAAUUUAAGCCCUAUGAGAAAGAUGACAAUUGUAGUUUAGCUCACAAAGAUCUCAAACCCUAGUAUUGUCACUAUCCAGGAUCUAAAUCUUUUAGCUCUGUUGUGGCCUCUCAUGAAUCAUGGUAUCAGCCAUAGCUGUUCUUGGGCAGUUCCAGAAGAUGUCCUAAGCCCCAGGUGACCUGAUUCCAAUUCAUUAAAAAGGUGAGUCACAUAUAUUCUUUCAGCAGUAAGUGUCCCAAUGCUGAUGAUUAAGAUGAGAAAAUACCUUCCAGUAGCUUAAUUUUUUUUCAGUUUCAAUACUUUCAAUAUAUCCAGUUUCAAUAAUUGCAUAUAACUUCAAAUGUUUGGCUUUAAUUGAAAAUGUUCACCAAACUUUGAAAAUGGGGAGGGGGAGUUGCACUUAUUGGAGUUCUAUGUAUGUUUAUUGCAUCACACACUUAGAAUGUGUAUUGUACAGUUUCGUUUCCAGUUAUUUAAAGGGAUUGAGAACUUCAAGACAAUCUGAGUGGAGACUCUGACAUAUAAAUACAGACUUACAGAAUUGGGAUCAUACUGUAUAUGUUUUUGUUGUUUGCUUUAUUCUCAACAUUGUUUUCAGAACAUCUUCCCAUGUUAUUAAAAAUUAUUUUAGAAAGGA